rnacentral:rRNA from 1 species
GUCUACGGCCAUACCACCCUGAAUGCGCCCGAUCUCGUCUGAUCUCGGAAGCUAAGCAGGGUCGGGCCUGGUUAGUACUUGGAUGGGAGAACUCAGAUUUGUUAGAAU